CCGCGAAGGGCAGGUGCUCACCCCGCCACGCCUUGGAGGCGGCCAUCUCUGUCCUGUCCUUUGCGGGGACCUGCGGGGAAGUCGCAUCAGAAUGAAACAGCCACUCCCAUGGGGGUAGCAAGGAGCCCGAGCUCCAGCCUUGUGAGACACAGGCACCGGGCUGGAGACACCAAGUGAGCCUCGGCCUGGGACGUCAGGUGGGGCUCCGUAGUGAUGUGAAGUGUGGCCUUUGGUGGUCCCCACCCGCGGACCAGCUUCUCCGGGACUCUUCACGACAGCCCUGCUUUCCCAUAGCUGCCUGGAGGGCCGGCCUGACUCCUGACUGUACAUUUGUGUUUUGGGACAGACAGGGACCAAAUGGAAAAGAGAGAGAGGGGAGGAAGAGAGGGAGGGAGAGACAGAGACAGAGCAUUCACAGGCCCGAAUCUGUGCCAGCCACGAGAACAGAGACUUCUCAGCAGCCUUGCGGAGGCAUGGGCGCGGUGGCUGGCGGUGAGCAGGGCCGUCAGGACCUCGAGGUCCCGGGAUGUGUGGCCGAUGCCUGGCCCUGCGGUGGCUCCUCCAGCCUGAGAAGCUCGGUGGGGACACAGACAUGGAAGCAGGGGUGUCCUCCCUUCUUUCUGGAAGCAUUUUUACAGGGACAGCACUUGCGGCAAGCCUUGGUGCUGCCCCUUGGGGGCAUUUUCUGGGCAAAGGCUUUGAGGCCCAAGAGGCAGAAGACCCUUGUUAGAAAGGAGUUUGGAGACCCUUAAAGCAACGACCCUUGCUGCAGAAGCAUCUAUCAAGUCUAAAAAGUGCCUUAGUUACUUGUUACUAGACUGAUGCAAUGACAAGUUUUAACCAAUGUAGCCCACGGUAUGGACAAAGUCCUGACUAUUUUGUAUGAUUUUACAAUUUAAACAAAUUUUGUAAAUGCCUAUGCUUGCAUUUUUAAUGAUUUGGGCAUUUUAGGAUGUGGCCCGGAUUGCUGGAGUGGAAACCCCAGCCCCCCUGUGCUUUGGGAAAUACCCACUGGGGUGGAUGUUGGGGUGCUUGUUUAAGGGAUCCCUCUGUUUAUCCUGUUUGAAUCCUGUUACAGAGCUCAACUUUUAAAAAGUGACCAUGGGCUCCCAGGAGGUGAGAUUUCAUCAGCCGCCUCCUGCUGCGGCUCCUGGUGGCAUGACCUUUUGGAGGUUUUGAAUGGACAGAAGUAAAAUAAAUUAGGGCCAAGGCGUGCAGGAUGAGGCUUGUGGAGAGAGGACAGUCUCGGUUUCCCAUUUUCUGUCUGCGCACAGAAUUGCGUCUCAGCCCCUAUGCCUGGAACUUGAUCCUCUCCACCCUCUGGUGCCCUGAGACCGUGGAUCCGCAGCCAUCUGCCAAGGCCCAGCGCCUCUGUCCCAAGCCUGCUCUGCAGGGUGCAGCCUGGCCGCCUCCCGGGGAGAUGCAGACAGACUCCAGCAAC